GACGAACCGAGCGAACGUUGUUCGGAAUCACUGGGCUUAAAGGGCGCGUAGGCGGAUUCUCAAGUCCGGGGUGAAAUCCCACAGCUCAACUGUGGAACUGCCUCGGAUACUGGGGGUCUCGAGGGUGGCAGGGGUAUGCGGAACUAUCGGUGGAGCGGUGAAAUGCGCAGAUAUCAGGAAGAACACCCGUGGCGAAAGCGGCUCUCUGGAACGGUACUGACGCUGAGACGCGAAAGCGUGGGGAGCGAACAGG
rnacentral:rRNA from 1 species